GGAUGCAAUUAAUGUGAGUGUUGGAUGGGUGCCCACUGGGAAACUUCUCAGAUGGGUUUGGCUCAGGAAUGGGUUUGCAGAGAGCUUCCCCCGGUUGGGUGUUCAGUGAUUACGCACAGGGCAGGGAACUUGCAGGGUGUUUAGCUCACCUGGUCAGAAAGAUCUCAGAGCAAGGUGUAAGGGCCAAUUUGGCCAUUUAUUCAACAUCACCAGAAGGCCGGAGGCUGUACUGCAGUGGUAGAGAGCACGUUUAGCAUGCAUGAGCCCUGGAUUCAAUCCCCAUCCCUACCUCUGCCAAAAAAAAAGGCAUACCGUCAUCAGGGCAGAUAGAACCAUGGAACUUAGACAGGGGACAGGUUUUUAUAUGUCAUUCUUGGACUUUCAACUUGAUAAUUAGUGAUCACAGAAACAGUUUAUCGAGUAUUCACUAGAGGCCAGGUUAUAUGCAUUUAUAAUCAUUCCCUCUUUAGUUUUCACAACUAUAAGAAUUAGCAUCUAUUUGUGGGGUGUGAUGACAUACCUGUAAUCCCAGCAAUUUAGAGGUUGAAGCAGGAGAAUCACAAGUUAGAGGCCAGCCUCAGCAACUUAGCAAGACACUGUCUCAAAAGUUAAAAACUAGAAAGGGCUGGGGAUGUGGCUCAGUGGUAGAGCACUCCUGGUUCAAACCGCAGUACAAAAAAAAAAAAAAAA
rnacentral:lncRNA from 1 species